AAGAGCUGGAGCUCCAAGAGACGCAAUAAGCGAUUGUGCUUUGAGUCUUGGCAGCGCCAAAUCUGUGAGCAGAGGCUGGUGCAAACAGCAGAGUACAGGGCUACACCUCUUUAACUCCUCUCAGGUUAUGUUAAUUGUGGAUCACAUCAUCUCAUGAAGAAAGAGGGCCUGAGCUCAGGACCUGCGUUUUCCUGUGACCUUGGGUAAAGCAGUUGCCUUUACACAGCUGUAUUUUGACUGUUGUUAAAAUGGAAAUAAAGAUACCUUUUCUCUUUUCAA